rnacentral:lncRNA from 1 species
GCUGGGUCACAAGCUAUUCCCUUAUCACUAACUAAAUGUCCUAAAUAUAACACCUGGUGUUGAAAAAGAAAGCAUUUCUUAGGUUUAAGCUUAAGAUUAGCCUUUCUAAAUCUAUCAAAAACAAGGUCUAAAUUCUCUAGAGCCUUCUCAAAAGUAGGACCAAAAAUAAUGACAUCAUCUAGGUAACACAUACACCUUUCCCACUGAUAACCUUUUAGAACAAUGUCCAUCAAUCUUUCAAAACAACUGGGCGCAUUACACAACCCAAAUGGCAUCACUUUGAACUGAA